UAGGGAAUCUUCCGCAAUGGGCGAAAGCCUGACGGAGCAACGCCGCGUGAGUGAUGAAGGUCUUCGGAUCGUAAAACUCUGUUAUUAGGGAAGAACAAAUGUGUAAGUAACUAUGCACGUCUUGACGGUACCUAAUCAGAAAGCCACGGCUAACUACGUGCCAGCAGCCGCGGUAAUACGUAGGUGGCAAGCGUUAUCCGGAAUUAUUGGGCGUAAAGCGCGUGUAGGCGGUUUUUUAAGUCUGAUGUGAAAGCCCACGGCUCAACCGUGGAGGGUCAUUGGAAACUGGAAAACUUGAGUGCAGAAGAGGAAAGUGGAAUUCCAUGUGUAGCGGUGAAAUGCGCAGAGAUAUGGAGGAACACCAGUGGCGAAGGCGACUUUCUGGUCUGUAACUGACGCUGAUGUGCGAAAGCGUGGGGAUCAAACA
rnacentral:rRNA from 1 species